GGGCGACGCUCGGGCUCCCCGAGGCUGCGGGGCUGGCGCUGCUGCGGGAGCCGCGCGGAGCAGGUUUUUUGAAAUAUUUUCUUUACCAAGCCAUGUCCAAAAUUACUACUCUGAAAACCUCAUAAAUACUUCAGUGUGAAGAACCCUCCGCUUAGAACAAACAUUUUGUCUUCAGACAUCUUAGGGGAGUUUGGUAAAGAAAGCAGGAAAGCAAUGGAAGAUGGCCCAAGUGGUCAGUACUCUGCACCCACGUGGGAGACCCAGAAGAAGCUCUUGGCUCCUGGUUUCAGAUCAGCUCAGCUCCGU